CACGGGGGGAGCAAGCGUUGUUCGGAAUCACUGGGCGUAAAGGGCGUGUAGGCGGUCAGGUAAGUGGGAUGUGAAAUGCCCCGGCUCACCCGGGGACCGGCAUCCCAUACUGCUUGGCUUGAGUACGGGAGAGGAUGUGGGAAUUCCUGGUGUAGCGGUGAAAUGCGUAGAGAUCGGAAAGAACACCAACGGCGAAAGCACUCUGCUGGGCCGACACUGACACUGAGAGACGAAAGCUAGGGGAGCGAAUGGG
rnacentral:rRNA from 1 species